AGCAGCCGCGGUAAUUCCAGCUCCAAUAGCGUAUAUUAAAGUUGUCGCAGUUAAAAAAGCUCGUAGUUGAAUUUCGGGACUAAUAUGUCGGUCGUGCCUCGGUACGUACUGGUUUAUUGGUUUCUCCUUUCUGAAGAACCAUGAUGUCAUUUAUUUGGUGUCGUGGGGAAUCAGGACUGUUACUUUGAAAAAUUAGAGUGUUUAAAGCAGGCUCACGCUUGAAUACAUUAGCAUGGAAUAAUGAAAUAGGACGUUUGAUUCUAUUUUGUUGGUUUCUAGGAUCGACGUAAUGAUUAAUAGGGAUAGUUGGGGCAU
rnacentral:rRNA from 1 species